GUACACUGAAAAAAUGGGAAUUGGCAGGCUUUUGAAUUUGCACAAAUGAAUUUAGUUAAUGCUACACAAGCCUUUCAUGUUUCUCUUAUUUACAUUAUUAAAUAAAGUACCAUUUACUUGAUUAUAAACAAUACUGAGACUACUCAUUUUUCUUGCAUUGAUUUAAAGUGACUAAAUUAGAAUACUAAAACCAUUGUAAUCAUGUUUGACCACAACCGGAAAUGAUGCAAUAUAUUCAAAGACAACAACUAAAUAUGAUUGGAUAAUAAGACCUAGAGUCUUAUCCAAUAAGACAACAACAUAAUUUAAGGAGAGCGCAAUUGACCGCCAGAUUCUGGAAGACUGUUCAGCCACAUGCAACCUUUGGCACUGAGUCAGGCAUAGUGAGAAGGUAAGUAAUUUAAAUACAUUUGUUUUAGUUGGGUACGUUUUCACAGAAUUGUUGUAGUGCAUGCUAUAGAAAAGUAAUCUGUAAUGCAUCUACAUGUUGUUUUUACAGUGCUAGCUAAAGUUGGUAUUAGCUUUGUGGCUAAAGCUGAAAAAUAUUAACAAAUUGCACAUAGUCGGGAGAAAGCAGCUGUUGUCGGUCAGAUAUGGAAUUUAUGCAUGUGACAGAGAGCACUGACGUUUUUGAUGGCUUAGCAAGUUAAAACGUCACUGAGAGACGCAAUAGUGUUUGUGUUACUCGUGCUAGUUAUGGCUACAGUGGCUAAUUAGUCCGGCUGUAACCGUCAGAGUUUAAGAAGCUGGGAGCCCCACAGUGCCAUACCUUAAUUCUUGCUGCUGACACGCACUCAAGUUAUAGGAUCCUGCCACCUUAGACGUGGGUUUAAGAACCUGUGCCCAUAAAUGCCAAAUCAUUUUUCCAUUUAGUCAUUGUUUUAGGUGAAGUGUCACUUACUUGACUAUUCUAUUGGUCAAGCCCAAAUAAUACAGCAGAUAUCUACAAGGAGAUAAGUUUGUUCAACAGAGUAUGUCUUAUUAAGUGAUGUAUUGUGAAUUUUCCAACAUCGUCCUAACAAAAAUUAGGACCCCCCCCCCCCCCUUUUUUUUUUCUACUUUGUGUAGAACAUAUGUGAGCUGCUUCUCAAAACAUUAUGUAUAAAUGAGGGAAAGAUUGGUACUUUAAAGAAACCAUUGAUGCUCUUCUGGACUGGAAUACCUUUUUUCAAUUAAAAUUAAUGUUUUUUGUGAUGGUGGAAUUUUUACCUUUAUGAUUACAGAAGUCAAAACAUCAGAUGAUGAUAGCUUACCAUCUAAACUCCCCAUCUCUUGGCAAUUCUGAAUUAGAGGGCUCAGCUGUAUCGGCCUUUCUAGUGGAUUUAAAGAGUUAAAGAGGAGAUAGCUUAAGUCAUUAGGUACAUAUUCCCUGACAUUCUAGAGGUCAACCUUGCACAGUGUGUGACAUUAAAGGGCAUAACUUAUAGAAAUGGAAUGGUACUGGCCCAAAGGGCAGCAGGUGGAUUGCCAGAAUACUGAAAAACCAUAUCUGCAUUGUACCACAGCAUAUUCUACAUUGUCAGAGAGCUUGGUGGCUGGUACAGAGAGCACGACAGCUUUUGAGCUCAGCCCAGUAUCCACAAGAAUAUUCACUCUCAUUUCACUCUGUGAACUCCUUGAUACUUAUCCAUUGGUUGACUAUGAGAUUGGAUCAGUCCACAUUGUGACUUUAAAAGGCAUAUAGAAAUAAAAGGUGUUCAUAUAAGUGUAAUAGGUUCAGUCGCAUGUAUUUCAUUAGAUAAAUUCUUCUUUUUUUAUGUCUGAUCUUUAUAACUUUGACUAUUGGGUAUGGAUAGCUUUAUGAAAACUAAACUGAAAGGAUUCUUUCUGAAUAUGUAAUUCUUUUUUGCCUACAGAGUCCUAUGGGGAGUCCUAUGGUCCUAAAGACUGUUUUGGCUGACGGAACCUGUCGAAGGCUCACUCUCUAAUGGAGCGCCUGAAUCAACUGAGGAUCUCAUCGUUGAAGUCAAGAGACAGUGUUGUCUUCAGGGCAGUUUCAGACUUGGACAUAAAAAAGAGUAACAGAGUUGGUGAAACUCAAGAUGGAAAAGACUUUUUCAUACAGAAGACAUGAAGGUGUUCGUGAUGCACCAAUGGUGGAGGCUUUCAUGGCAAGAUGGCCUGCUCUAAUUGAUUUCCAUGAGAUCAACGCUGAGUUAAGAGAAUUGCCACCAUCCCCCCUCAGACAAAGUUCCUGGCUCAGCUGGAUCUCCACUUGGACAACCUGGUGAAGUUGGUCAACAAAGAGGAGAGCUUGGACUAAUACUGAAAAGAAUUGUGUGGAUAAUUGUGAAGAUGUUGAUGCUGAACGUGAGUGUGUCAAGGGAGUGUGUAUCUACAUGGGUGAAGACCCUGGCAUGCUUAUCCGGGAGUAUGUGGGCAUGGAAGAACGUGCCAUCAGUGAGACUGUUGAAGACACCACUGUUUGAAUUUAUCUUCUUAAAGAGCAAGCUUCAGCAGAUGAACAAGAGUUGUCCUUGCAGGCAUCAGGGUGGCGAAGAAUUUGGAUAAUGUAGCAUUUGCUGUGAUAAUGCUAUUUGGACUCAUGUAUGCAUUAAACCUUGCCUACCCUGCGGACCUUCGCUACAACUUUGAGUUUUCCAGAAGGUUUUCAUGGAACUGGAUGGAGCUAAACUCUCUAAAGUUCUUGCUUUCAAAAACCAUCUGUUUCAUUGAGAAGUCAAAGACUGCACUUCUGCAAUUCUUUGCAGUUUUUCAUUUUGUGUUCAGUAACGUUAUACUGCUUAUGUUUUUAUUGCUUUCCCCUCAUGUGACUGCAAUGCAGGAUGAUUUUUCCUUUUGGUAUCAUGUUGUAAGAAAUUUUUACUGACGAUUUUUAGCAAUAUGUUCUAAGUCAACCUUAAUGUCCUGCUUACAUGUUUAAAAUGAAGAUUAAAAUUCAUGUAGGUGUUUGGUAUUAGUUAUGUAACAAUGUCAUUUAAGGCUCAACUUAUUUGAAAUCUUGUACAGGUAAAUACUUGUACAGAAGCUGAAACUGUUGUCAAAUAAUACACAAGUUAUAUUUGUGUAAAUCUGUUUAUUCAUAAAAGCGUGUUGCUUUUUUUAGGUAGUCUUAAUUUAGUUUACAUUUUCAAUUGUGUAAUUAAUACAAAUGUUAUAUGUAAGAGAUGACAGGAUCAUCUAUAAGCACUUUCUUUUAUUUGCUGCUAAGGUCAGUUUUUUGUGAAAUAUUUGCAAAUAUAUUCUCAAACUAACUUUUUCUUUUAGUUAUUUCUGCAGGCUAUCUUUAAAAAUGUGUUAACAAGUUUAUAUGGAUGUGAUUUUGGACUUGUUCAUGGCAGAAUUGCUGCUUUCACUGCUGUUACAGUUUAAUAAAGGUGAAUUGUUCAGUAGCACUCACAGUCUUUGCCUUUUUUGUCAAUAAUGAUCAGUUAAUAUUUCAAUUGAAAAAAUUAAGUAGAGAUUUAAAGCCA